rnacentral:rRNA from 1 species
UACGAAGGGGGCUAGCGUUGCUCGGAAUCACUGGGCGUAAAGGGUGCGUAGGCGGGGCUUUAAGUCAGGGGGGAAAUCCUGGAGCUCAACUCCAGAACUGCCUUUGAUACUGGGAGGCUCGAGUCCGGGAGAGGUGAGUGGAACUGCGAGUGUAGAGGUGAAAUUCGUAGAUAUUCGCAAGAACACCAGUGGCGAAGGCGGCUCACUGGCCCGGUACUGACGCUGAGGUGCGAAAGCGCGGGGAGCAAACAGG